rnacentral:rRNA from 1 species
GACCAGACUCCUACGGGAGGCAGCAGUGGGGGAUAUUGCACAAUGGGGGGAACCCUGAUGCAGCGACGCCGCGUGGGUGAAGGAGCGUUUCGGCGCGUAAAGCCCUAUCGGCAGGGAAGAAGAUGACGGUACCUGACCAAGAAGCCCCGGCUAACUACGUGCCAGCAGCCGCGGGAAUACGUAGGGGGCAAGCGUUAUCCGGAUUUACUGGGUGUAAAGGGGGCGCAGACGGCAAUGCAAGCCAGGAGUGAAAGCCCGGGGCCCAACCCCGGGACUGCUCUUGGAACUGCAUGGCUGGAGUGCAGGAGGGGCAGGCGGAAUUCCUAGUGUAGCGGUGAAAUGCGUAGAUAUUAGGAGGAACACCAGUGGCGAAGGCGGCUUACUGGACAGUAACUGACGUUGAGGCUCGAAAGCGUGGGGAGCAAACAGGAUUAGAUACCCGAGUA